UACGGAGGGGGCAAGCGUUGUUCGGAAUUACUGGGCGUAAAGGGCGCGUAGGCGGCCAGUUGCGUCGGGUGUGAAAGCCCCGGGCUCAACCUGGGAGGUGCACUUGAUACGGGCUGGCUGGAAUCCGGGAGAGGAUGGUGGAAUUCCCAGUGUAGAGGUGGAAUUCGUAGAUAUUGGGAAGAACACCGAUGGCGAAGGAAGCCAUCGGGACCGGGAGUGACGCUGAGGCGCGCAAGCGUGGGGAGCAAACAGG
rnacentral:rRNA from 1 species